GUGGAGGUUAUCCGGGAGUACAGGUGGUGCAUGGUUGUCGUCAGCUCGUGUCGUGAGAUGUUGGUUAAGUCCCGCAACGAGCGCAACCCUUGUCUUUAGUUACCAUCAUUCAGUUGGGGACUCUAGAGAGACUGCCGGUGAUAAACCGGAGGAAGGUGGGGAUGACGUCAAAUCAUCAUGCCCCUUAUGGCCUGGGCUACAAACGUAAUACAAUGGCGUAUACAAAGGGAUGCGAAAGGGCGACCUGGAGCAAAACUCACAAAGUACGUCUCAGUUCAGAUUGGAGUCUGCAACUCGACUCCAUGAAGGCGGAAUCGCUAGUAAUCGCGGAUCAGCAUGCCGCGGUGAAUACGUUCUCGGGGUUU
rnacentral:rRNA from 1 species